rnacentral:rRNA from 1 species
UACGGAGGGUGCGAGCGUUGUCCGGAAUCAUUGGGCGUAAAGGGCGCGUAGGUGGCCCGGUCAGUUCGUGGUGAAAGCGCGGGGCUCAACCCUGCGUCGGCCAUGAAUACUGCCGCGGCUGGAGCACUGUGAGAGGCAGGCGGAAUUCCGGGUGUAGCGGUGGAAUGCGUAGAGAUCCGGAAGAACGACCGGUGGCGAAGGCGGCCUGCUGGGCAGUGCUGACACUGAGGCGCGACAGCG